rnacentral:siRNA from 1 species
UAGUUUUUUCACCAAUCAAACA